rnacentral:rRNA from 1 species
GACGAACGCUGGCGGCGUGCUUAACACAUGCAAGUCGAACGGAAAGGCCCUGCUUUUGUGGGGUGCUCGAGUGGCGAACGGGUGAGUAACACAUGAGUAACCUGCCCUUGACUUUGGUAUAACUUCAGGAAACUGGGGCUAAUACCGGAUAGGUGCUCCUGCUGCAUGGUGGGGGUUGGAAAGUUUCGGCGGUUGGGGAUGGACUCGCGGCUUAUCAGCUUGUUGGUGGGGUAGUGGCUUACCAAGGCUUUGACGGGUAGCCGGCCUGAGAGGGUGACCGGCGACAUUGGGACUGGGAUACGGCCCAGACUCCUACGGGAGGCAGCAGUGGGGAAUAUUGCACAAUGGGCGGAAGACUGAUGCAGCAACGCCGCGUGCGGGAUGACGGCCUUCGGGUUGUAACCCGCUUUAGCCUGUGACGAAGCGUGAGUGACGGUAAUGGGUAAAGAAGCACCGGCUAACUACGUG